UUUUUUUUUUUUUCCCAGAAUGAAUUUAUCUGAGACUUAUUUCUUCUGGUAACAAUUACAGAAGUUUAAUUACAAAAUAAUCACUAUUUCCUAUUCAAUAACAGUUUGUUAUUUUUCUGCAUUGUAGUUUUUGCAUUGUAGGCCUUUGAUUCAAUAGAACAAAAUACUGUCUUUGAAAAUAAGAAAGCUGGGUGGUCAAACCAUGGUCAAAUUAUGAUAGGAUGCUUCAAGAAUAAGUUUACUAUAUUAAAUGUGCCUUUUGGUUUUUUGUUGUUGUUGGGUUUGGUUUGUUUGGAGGUUUUUGUGUUUGGGUUUUUUUUUUGUUUUGUGUUUGUUUGGAUGUUUUGUUUUGCAUUUUUUUGGAAACCAACAGAUACAUGGCAACUAUCUCCCACUAAAUGUAAUUUGGGUAAUUUAUUACAUUUUGUAUAUAUGUGUAGAAUUCAGUUUAGAAACUGUUUAGGUUAGUUCCAACAUUGGUUUUACUUUCUAAGUUAAUGUUACACAUCAGCCUAGACCCUCACUAGAACAUGAAAAAAGUCUCAGGAAACAAACCUCUGUUGUUUCUACUUAGUUAUCAAAGAAUGGGAAUGAUGGAAUCAUUCAUUAAAGAUGUAAAAAUUUCAGUCACAUGUUACUCAAUAUAUCUGUGUUGACUUUGUGACUUCUGGAGAUUUUUUUUCUGGUACUAUUAAACCAAAAGAUCUUCAGCAUGUACCUACAUAAGUUUCAGUGUGCAUUGGCAAGCAUCAGGAGAUUUAAAUUCCCAAAGCAGUCUUCCUAAAUUGUUAGUUAUAAAAAAAUUUUGCUUUUUGCAGAUUUUCUAGAUGUUCCCACUUUGGGAAUAGUUUUUACAUUUUCAGCAUCCCAUAUAUGUUAUGACAGCACAGCUCUAAUAUUGUAAACGUUUUUGGUCAUCCAGUUUUUUCUGGAAAUGUGUAGUUGCUAAAAUAUUAACAUGAUGAGUGGUUUUGUACAAGCCAUAUUGUUUAAAAAGCAAAAGGUAAACUUGAGACUUGUUGCAUGUAGGAGCUGCUGCUGCACUGAUCUCUGGGGCUUUGUGUGGGCCCAUGGCUGCAGGGUCAGAAUCCAGCCCUGAGCCUCCCUCUUCCAAACCACCCUGCAACAAAACCUCACCAUUGAUAUGAAGCCAAAUCCAGCUUAGGCUGAAAAAGAUACAGCUCUAGCUGAGCAAAUGGUGUUCUGUGCCUGUGUGCCCACUCUGACUUUAUUUGCAAAUCUGAUUUACAGGCUGUGGCAGUUUGGAGAACUGCAAACAUACAGCCAUGAUUGAAAAGUCCAUCACCUGCUUGACAGUUGUACUCUGCCAUGCAGGUGUUGGGGUUUUAUUUCUGACUUCUAUUCUGCAGUGCUUUACAGAGACCCAGCAUCAGCAGCUGUGGCACAGACAUCUGGGAGUGUUCCUGUGCCAGUGUCAAAGCCAAGUUGUCAGCCUUUUCCUCCCUGCACAGACAGGCAAAUCAGUGCAAGACUACAGAGUCCCAAGGAGUUAUGAUACAGAGUGUUUCUCCCCAUUCCUGAUUAUUCUGCAAGUUCUGAGAAAAUUUGUUCCACAAACAACAGCAAGGUGCCUGGUGCUCUCAGCCCCCCAGGCUCUCUAAAAUAGAGACAAAGCAGAGAGCCUGUCAGGCCUGUGGCUUUUCCUGGUGGAGGAUGGUUCUCAGAAUCUGAACUGCAAAGGUCAAUCAGCUCAGAUAACCAGUGUCUCCUCAGGGAAGAGAGCCAGGUAGCUCCUCAAUGGGAUUUAGAAAAGGAAGCACCUGUUGGCACUCAAGCAGCCUUUAUUAAACUCCAGCCAGAUCCCACCCACUGUGCUGAUCUUCACCUGGGACACUUCCAACAAGAUGAGGUAAAGGCUCCAAGUUUCAGUCCUGAAUGUUGGAAACCUGGAGAGAAAAAGGGAGAAAGCAUAAAUUUGAAAAAUUAUCCUACCUCUGAGACCUUUUCUAUGUCAAAAGGAAGGCUGUGAUUACUUCUACUGGCAGAAGAAAGGCAAGUUAUAAGCCACCAGGAUGCCCCAAGGGGCUGAGACACCCAGGAGAGCAGGUUCUUCCAGCAAGCCAGGAGAAAAGCAUCUUCCUAGUGAUUCCAAAUGGGUAGCUUUCAGAAACUGCUCCUGAUCUCCCUGCAAGCUCUUUGUGCAUGUACUGUGGCAUGCCCUGUUCCCUCCCAGCUUUAUAAUCCCCUAGGCCUGUUAAUAAAAAGAAGCCACAAGACAGGCACCUGUUGCAGAGAAACACAGCAAAAAACUUCACCAAAAGACAAUAUUUAUCCAAGGCAGUAAGGAGGAGCUUCCUUAUUUUUUGCAGGGCUAUCUGCACCUCUCUAUUUUUCACAUUUAUUUCCAGGCUGCACAAGCUGUGUGACCUGUCAUUAUUUGCUUAGAGGGAUUGUUUUGCCUUCCAGCAAAAAUACCAGUUAUUGCUAAUUUUCUUUUACUGCUAAAGAGAGAACUCUGCUUAAGGGAAACCUGAUAUUGAAGGCUGUGAGACUCUCCCAUCUCUCUGAGGAGCUUCCUCCACACACCUGUAUGGCUACACCAACCUCCUCCUUCCCUGGCUUCCAUUCCUCUGACCCAGAGGCUGUUUUCCUUCUCAAAGAACAAUGGGAUGUCAUCCAUAGAGAGGAAGUUACCCUACAGAUGGGAUGUCCUUAAAAACCCCCUCGAGACCACUCUUAGCCCGUGUUGUCCUGCUAAGGUGAUCAUGGUCUUGCCCUGGCCUCUCUGCCUGGGUAGCACUGUGGUUGACAGGUUUUGGGGUGAGUUUUUCCCCACCACCUCUGAAAUAAUCCAGUGAUCCUGUGCUGGAGGAUGACAGCAGAAUGGCAGUGAUGGCAAGACUGGUCAUGCUGGGUCGGAUACACGUGCAAGCUGACAGCCUGGCCACAAGGUCUGGGCAGGAAGAGGGGAUGGCUGUGGGUUUGAGCACUUUGAGGGGUAUGAAAGGCAUGAAAGGAAACAGUCACUGAUUAGAGACCAGCCAGAAGCUCUGAGUGAGGCCUCCACCUUCGUGUUACCCAUCUUCAUUAUGGAAGUACCUUCAGAAUCCAACCUUUUUAGUGGGAGUGGAGCCAAGUAAGGAACCCCAGUAUUCCUGCUGGAGCAGUUCAGAGGUCUCUCCUCAGCAACACAUCCUUGGACAAAGGCUACUCUAUGAAAGCUGGGACAAGCCUGAAUUUCAUCUCUUGUUUAUGCCAGGGCUCCCUUAGGAUAAAGAAAGCUUUUUCUCACCCUCUAAAGGCAUUUCUGUAUAUUGGGAGAAGAAGGGAGGAAUCUGCCAGUCUGCAUCCAUGAGGCUGGGCAAAGAAAGGUGCAAAACCUUUUCUUGUGGUCCACUGAUUGGGAAUCCCAGGGAAAUCUCUUCCAGCUGCUUUUGAUCACUCAUGGCUUUUAAACAAGACAUUUUGUUCCUCAGGGCACGAGGGAGAUUGGGUACAUUCUCCUCAGAGCCCAACCCCACAUCAAGCACAAGGAAGGUAUUUCCUAAUAGUGUCUCCCUCUUCCCAGCUGAAUUCAAGGGCAGAUCCCGACCUUUUCUUCAGCCACUGAGGAUGUGGCAAGGCUGCCUGCCUAGUAAGACACAAGGCCUCAGGCUGGUUGUCCCUGUUCCAAGCCCUAUGGAGCUGCUGACAUCCCUGCAUUUCAGAUUUUGGACUGAACAGCUCCAAUCACAGAUUGUGAAUGACUCAAAUGCUCUUCAUCAGCAGUUGUUGACUCUUUCCCUUUUACUUUCCAGGAAGGGGGAAGAGACUGAUUUAUUCACUUUGCUGGGGUGGCAAAGGACAGAAACAAACUGUAAAAAGGAACAGCAUAUUCCCAAAUUAUUCAAAUCCUGAGGUUUAUUGCAUGCAGUCUGCCCUUCCAGGAUUUCAGCCCUCUCAUGAGUGGUAUCUGAAUUUGCAUCCAAUUAUGAAUAAAGUGUGCACCAUUUAACUUUCUAAGGCAAUUCUCACAAACUGACAUGUGAGAUGCUCCUCAUAACUUAAUGAUAACUGGUUGCAGAAAGCUACUGCAGCUCUGUGUGUGUGGUUGUAGCAUUGCUUUUCAGAGAGCUCAGACUGCUCAUCUUUGUCACAUGUUCCAUGCUGCAAACUUCUCAGGAAGAUUUUUUUAUUUUUUUGGAGAGUGAAAAAAGGGGAAAGGAGAAAGUAAGAAGUCCAUUUUUUUAAGGAAUGUCAUGCAAACCACCCUCACUGUGGUGCUGAAGUCCUCAGUGAAGUUUUAUUGCUAAUAUUUCCUUUUACCAUAAUGAUAAUUAGAGGUAUCAAUGAUUUUACUGUGCAUGGUGCAAACAUUAUAAAUUGCCUCUCCCAGACUCUCAAAUUACCAAUAAUCUAACAGUCUGAUGUCAGCAAAUCUGAAACCACCAAGUGGCUAGGAAUUUAUCACCCCAGAGAGAAAGAGAUCACUGAUCACCUCCCUCACAUGCUCAAGCCUUUCACUCAGUCCCCUAUGCAGUGUCUUCUUUUGCCUUUAAGAAAACAGAGCAAACCAAAAUUCUAUGCCAUGACCCAGGAUUGAACUCCAGGGACUGUUGGUAGGGAGCUGAGCCUGGUCUGUGGAAGUCUUGCAGCAAGUGGCAUUUUGCAGCCAGGCAGCCUUCAUUUCAGGGUGGGUUCAUCUGUCCAGAGCUGUGUAUACUGCCAGCCCAGCCUUUUAAAAGCCUUUAUUAAACAAAUUUCAAAGGAGUGCUGCCAGAACACCACAAUCAGCACUGCUAAGAUUUUUUUAAAAUCACUCCACUGCCAUUGUUUGAAGGAUAUUUUGUAUUUCUGCUAUUUUUGCUGAGAGGUGGUGACAGCCAUGGAGAGAUGCAUUUGCAAACAUCCAUAAUUCUCUCCUAGCUAAGGCCAAGACAAUACCCUUUCCUUAUCUCAGAGAGCAGUUGAAUUAAUGGUGAUGUCAGUCAAUGGACUCUUGAUUUUGUUGAUUCCUCUCCAGCUCAGUCACCAGCCUCCAAGGAGGAUAUGGGGUUCAAACUGUCAUGUGGCCAAUAGUUUUUACAAAAUGUUCGUGUGUCGUGCUGAUAUAAUUGAGUUUUGCAAGCAGCCAAUUUGCCAGUCCUCCAGUAAAAAAACCCACAAGUGUCACUUCUUUCCCUGCCUUAGUUAAUUCAUAUUUUAGCCUUUGGGGAGCUGUUAGACCCAAAUUCUGGAGCAAAUGCUAAUUAAACAGAUGUAUUUCAGCCAUACAGAACUGGUAACAAAAGGCAACAGCUGUGUGAAAGAUUUUCCCCCUUCAGUGCUGAAGUUGGUGAGCUGAGCAAAACUUAUUGCAUCCCACAUUCCCUGCCUUUGCACAGUGCAGAGCACCACGUGGGCCUUGGGUUCUGACCAUGCUGGAGCACAACAAGCAAGGGGGACUGAAGCUGCCCUUCUGACAAGUAAGAAAAGGUGCAUCAUCCUCAAACAACUCUAUCCUCCUCCUGAGAGGUCAGCUCCCCAUGGAAAAAGGGGAUGUGCUCUUUUGGGUGAUGGGGAAGGCUUAAAUCUGUUGAAAAAAGGAGGCCUGAAAUCUUGUCCUUUUUUUUUUUUUGAAUGAGGAAUUAAGUAUUUUUUCCUCAGCUUGGUCUUUUUUUCAUUACAAAUAAAGCCAAGUACCACCAGGUUUUUCCUCUGAAGUGAUGCAGAAAUGGGUGAGUCAAUACCCUUGUAACGUGACAGAUGCCAAGAGAAUUCAUUUGAUGAGAAAAAAAAAAGACACAACCAUAUUUUCUUCUGUCAGCACUUAAUCAAUUUGUAUUUUCAAUGAAGAACUGGGAGAAUACAUUGUGAAAAGAGGUCACAAGCCAUCCAGAACCAUGGGGGAUCUCCCACCACUCUUGCUGUGCCUGUGGCUCCAUGUGCCUUGGUUACUUGGUCAUUUUAUUUGGGUGCUGCAGCUGGAGCAUCUGACAGAGGUCUGAGCUGUCAGCCUCAAGGAUGCCCCAGUGUAGCUAGAGCAAUCAGUUCCAAUCCCUUGGCAUUUCCAGCACCUACUUGAGUGCAGCAGGUACUUUUAGCAAGGUUAGGCGCUCUGAGGUCAGAGCCUCUAAAACCAUGCAGGCACCUUCUAACAAAACAGCAUCUGUAGAUGCAGAUGACACCUCAACUCAAAACAAAGCAGCACUUUUAGCUUCUGGUAAACACCAUCCCUACAGGAGAAAGGCAAUUUCACCCUCCUGCCUGGCUGAAUGACCUGAGUAAAGCAAUCCAGCUCUUGUCAAGUGUCCCUUGCCCACAGAAGCAGUGUGGGCCCCCAGUGCCCAGUCCUUCUGCAGCAGUGCCUUCUUUCUGACUGACAGACAAAUCUUGCUGUGGUUUCAGCUGCAGGGCUCUCCUCCCCCUCAGGGGCCUUUUGCCCUCUUAAACUACCCUGGCUUUGCUCUUGUGUCCUGUGCUUUGUGGUGUGAGUUUGACACUCCCUGGUUGCUUUACAGCCUUCUGCCUGCUCCUACAAUGUGUAUCAGGACAGGACGGAAGGGCCAAGGGUGAGUGUAAAUGGGGCUCCUGGGCCCGUGGGCAGAGGUUGUGUGUGCUUGGAUCAAUUAAGAUCUACAGCUGUCACUCCACAGCUACCUGAAAGGAGGCUGUAGGGAGCUGGUGGUCAGUCUCUUCCCCCUGGUAACCAGAAACAGGAUGCGAGGAAAUGCCUUCAAGUUGUGCAGGGGAGGUUUAAAUUAGGUAUUAGGAAAAUUUUCUUCCCUGAAAGGGUGGUCAGGUGUUGAAAGAGACAACCCAGGGAAGAAUUGGAAUCAUUAUUCCUGGGAGUGUUCAAAAGGCAACUUGAGGAUACGGUUUAGUGGAGAACGAUGCAGGUGCUGGGUGAAUGGUUGGACUUUACAGUCUUAGAUGUCUUCUCCAACCUUGAUAAUUCUGUGUCUGUGCUCCAAAUGAGCAGUUGUAAAAGUUGUGAGUCUUGGGUACAGUGAGAGGCUCCUGGCAGUGGGCAAUUGCAGACACAAGAAGAAGAGCACAAGAACAGAUCAAGUCCAGAGUGUGAGGGUUUUCAUAGCCUCCAAAAAUGUAUGGGUUUUGUAUUUUAUGGUGCCUUUGUCUGCCCUGAAUCUCUCCAUCCUUUCCUGUCCAGAAUCCAACACAUUCUGCUGUGGGCAGUUCUGCAGUGUCACUACACAUCAUGGGAAAAGCUCCUGUUGUCCCUGAAUAUCAUGAAUCUCUUGUCUCUUGCCUUUGAGUUCUCUGAGCUUUUUUUAUGAGAGGAGGCAGAAGUUAGUUAUCUUUUCUAAUUUCUUCCAUGCCAUCUGAACUACUGAUUUAAUUAUUUCAAUGGGCACAGAAAGGCUGAAGGCUACAAACUCUGUGUGCUCUGGACAUGUCAGCAAACAUGCAGUGGAUUGGUAGCAGACUUCUCUCUGCCUUUGAAUAAGUCCAUUUUAGUAACUUGAUGGCAUAGAGGGAAAGGGUUGGAGGUACCCAGGCAGAUGCCUCUCCCUAUUAUUGCAACUACCAGACUCUUUCAGACAAAAGAGAGCUAACAGCACUGUGCAACCAUGGCCUCUCUUGCCUUAUCCCAGCCUGGCUGGUUGCCAGGCCAGCUAGGCAGAUGAAGUCCCACUGCAUCUCAUUGCUUGCUAUGGCCUGAUGCUGAAAAAUGCACUUUUUCAGUCCAUGUUCUUGUGUGCCACCCAUCUCCUGAGCCAGGAAAAUUCAGUUUGAGACAGGAAUGACAUUCAACUGUGUUCUUAUCUCCUCCACAAAAAUGAGCACUUCUUUAUACGUUUGCUUUAAAAAAAAAAAGUCAGGGCCUCAGGAAAACCAUCUGUCCUGUCCCUAAAAUACUGGGAUUUACAAACACUGAGACCUUGGCCUCAGUGUUAAAGGUCACUGGAAUAAGCUGCACCUCUCUGCUCUCUCUCCAAUUGCUUAUUCUUUCAAUCCCACCCUUCAACUCUGAAUGUGUCCCUGGAUAUUAUUCCUUCAGACAGCCAGUCCCCAGCAGCUUAGAGGAUACUCCUGCUUGCACAAGAGCAGCUGGAUCUUCUCUGCAUGCCUGCAAGGCUAAAACCUGCUGAUUAUUUCAUGGGAAAAGAUGGGAGGGAGAGACCCGGAUAGCAGAACAGAAUAGCUUAACUCCUACCCUGCUGGAUCUCCUACCCCACUGCUGUGCUGGGGAUCUGGCAGAGUGUGUGCAGAUUGGGACACACCCAGGUGCUGCCUGGAUGCCCUCACUUUUCAAAGAAUUGUUGGUGGAAGGGAAAGAGGUGAGGUGGUACCAAGCAGCAGGGAAAGAAAUGCAGCUUGAAAAUAGCACAGCACCUGCAGGUUUCAACGGGAGACAGCAGAGAGGAGCUGGGAGAUGCUGCUGCAUUUCUUUACAAGGGGAAAAACACCAGGGCUGGCUGUCCUUUCUGAAAGGUUCCUGUUGUAGUCACACUGGGCUUUUUCUCACCUGGAAUAAUUUUCUACUUUCAGAAGAAGCAAAAUUGUUGCUCUUAAAGGGUCAGGCUGGUAUGGAGAGUGAGCCAAAGAAGCAGUUCUUUGAGGACGGCCCCUGGGUGCCCUGCAGAUGGUGAGGACAGCCAGUGGCCUGCAGUGGGUGAGGAGAAGUGGUCAGGUGGUGGCACAGUGCCUUAGAGGAAAAGCCCUGUAGCUGGAACCUUCAGUCCUGUCCAGACCUCUGCCUGAUCUAGAGGCCUUCUGCCUUGCUUUGAUGAGCAGGAAAAUCCCUCGGGGAGAAUUUGCUCUUUUACUCCUUUAGCUUGGCUGUCUGCUGGGCUUUGUCCCCUCCUCAGCCCCAGGCACCAUGCAGCUCCAAGCUGGCGUUCCCGUCACCCCAGCCCUUGCAGCGCUGCCCUCCAGCUGUGCCUUUGCCAGCGCAGGCUCUCCAAAACGGCCCUGACGCUCGGCAAGGAGACUCGGCGAUUAUUUGCAGUGCCCUCCCUGUCCAGAUCACUCUAGUUCUUGCUCCCAAAUACUCGCGUUCGCCACCUCCUGAGUGCAGCCGGUGUGGGAUGCGGCAUGCGAGCUCCUUGGUGUCCCCCGAGCCGGGAGCAGCAGUCCUACACCCUAUGUGCAGAUGAGCGCUCUCCACCCCCUGCUCUUCUCCCUCCACUGCCAGCCCUACUGCUCCUCCCAAGCACGGAGGGAGGCUGCUUUGCUGGGCACAGACACGUCCCUGCAGGACAGGGGAGGAUGAUCUGCAGAUCCCUCGGCAGUGUUCCCUCCUCCUCCCUGCCAGCAGCAUCAGCCUGGCGGAACUUGGAGCCGAGCUGUCACAGUGUGAGUGGGAAGUGGCAGCACAAAGGGACUCGCAGCCCGUAUGGAUCUGCCCACCAUGCUGCCUCCUCGCUCCCUUCAUGCCCAGGCUGUGCCUGGCUUCCCGCAGCCAUGGCAGGAGGAGGGUGAGAGGGAGGGCUGCAGAAGGGACAGUGCCCGCAGUGAGUGCUGUGUGACCCCCACACCCGAGAGCCUCCGAGCUCCGUGCUGCAUCGGCCGCCAGCCUGUUCGAUGGCGUGGCUCUGGGUGGAAGCAGCUCGGUAUUGGGGUGUGUGUGAGGAGAAAUGUGUCCUUGGGAUGACACCCCACAACUUGCCCCUCCCAGAAGAGAAGUUCCAGCAUGUCUUGCUCAGAUCUCCCUGCCGGCCACUUCAUCCCGAGUUCGCCGCACUUGGUGGAAGCAGUUCAGCCAGCUUUGGAUUGCAUCUGUGUCAGCAGGGAACAGCAAAGCCUGCCAGCUGACGUGGGAGAUGCCAGCAAACCAGUGGCGCCCUCUUCUGCCUUAUCCUUCCUUUUCGGUUUGCAGCCAAGUCCUCGCUGUCUUUACAGGGUUUUGUGAGAUAAAAGUGCCCCUCUGGGAAAGCAAAACUUAGCGCAUCCUCCUGGAGACCUUUCACAGCAGUUUGCAAGCCACCACUCUUACGUACGGUUUGGCAUCUUUUCCCCUUCUGCUUCUCAUUUCCAUCUAACAGUCUUGAUAAUCGUGCAGACUCAUUUAUUUCCUUUGUCGUGUGUUCCUGACGAGAGAUUUCCUGGCUCCUAGCCUGGAUUGAGGUCUGAGCAGAUCCUGCGCUCACCUAUCCUGCCCCAGCAGUCCUGAUGGGGGCAGCUGAGCUCUUCCUACCUGCAGCACACCCUGGGCUUUGUUUGGAGCUGCCUGGUGUGUGGAGCUGUACAAAUCCACACUGGUGUGCAGUGGAAAGGGAGAGGUCUGAUUCCUUUGGUACAGGGCUUGCAAUUCCAGCAGUGGGGUCCUGCAGUAAUGAAUCAGUCUCAGGCUGACACAAAUGGACCCCUGCCCUGCAAACUCAGGUGUAAGAAGUGAAUUUGCAAGGGGAUUUUUAAUCUAUAUAAACACCAUUUGAGAUAGUAUUAUUUCACAGCAAGUGAUCAGAUUUCAAGGGGAAAGAGGACAUUUUGUCAUUGAGUGUAGUAGUUAUAAAACAAUAAUAUGAUGCAUGUUGGGAGGCCAAGGUUGUUUUAUUUCCACCCAGAUCUCAUGUGCGAAUACAGAACACUCUGCAGUGAAAAAAACAUGCACGUUACUCUGCAUAUGAUUCCCCCGUGAGGUGCCUCGCUGUUUAGGCAGUUUUCCAGCAGUCAGUUGUCCUUCAUAACCUGAGCAGCUAAUGCUGCAACCCAGAUGCCCAGAAAGUUGUCUGUUAUUGUGGCUAUUGCCAUAAAUGAAAACUUCUAGCUUAAGGAGGAGUGGCAAUAGCUAUUACACGGUACUAAAGGCAGUGGUUCCAGUAGCAAAUGAUGAAGCCUAAGAAAACUCUGCAGGCUUGAGAUCAUGGGAAAUACAGGCAUCUCUGACCUUGUAUAGUCUGCACACUUUUUUUCUGCCAGCUGAUGCUAAAUCUACAUCUGCUUUGAAUAGCACAGAGGGAAGAGGUUGGCUAGCAAAGGGUGAAGUCAGGAUGUCCACUGCUCUGUGUCCUUGCUCUGAAGUUUGGCAGGGCUGUUAGAGACCUUCAAGACAUUCUGUUUUCCUUUGGCAGCCACUGCAGUCCAGCCCCGAGGGAGGACCUUGCUAGCUGAUUUGGGAUGGGGUUUUAUUGCAUUGGUGCUGACUCAGAUGGUUUACAAGGGUAAAUUCUGAACCUCAUCUACCUGCUACUGUCUGGGGAGUAAGAGCAUGGGAGCAGACCAUCUGCCAUCCCCAAAUCAAAAGAAAUAUUUGAGAAGUUCACUUGGAAACAGAAAUGUUCAUU